GAGGUUGUGGCUCAGUGGUAGAGUGCUUGCCUAGCACACAUGAGGCACUGGGUUCAAUCCUCAGUACCACA
rnacentral:tRNA from 1 species